CAGUGUGCAGCAGAAUAACCAAAGGGGAACCCUGAGUUAUUCUGUACACAGAAUGCUGAAAAUGUAUUCAAAACUGCAUAAAUGACACAUCUUUGCCAUGAUGUCCUCCACUGAUCCUGUUAAAACCAAUGAAAACCGAUCAACAUCAGUGAGCUCGCAGCUCUGAGAGAACCCGAACAGAUUCUUCCCCUCACUUCUCACUGCGAGCUCCAAGCAGUGUGCAUGGG
rnacentral:lncRNA from 1 species